GGCCUGGUUUGAGAGAGAGAGAGAGAGAGAGAGAGAGAGAGAGAGAGAGAGAGAGAGAGAGAGAGAGAGAGAGAGAGAGAGAGAGAGAGAGAGAGAGAGAGAGAGAGAGAGAGAGAGAGAGAGAGAGAGAGAGAGAGAGAGAGAGAGAGAGAGAGAGAGAGAGAGAGAGAGAGAGAGAUAAUAAAUAACAUUUGUGAGUAUAAUGUUUACAUAUCACCAGGGGUGAGACAGGGAUGCAGCUUAAGCCCCACUAUCUUCAACGUAUAUAUCAACAAAUUGGCGAGGGCACUAGAACAGUCUGCAACACCCGGCCUCACCCUACUAGAAUCUGAAGUCAAAUGUCUCCUGUUUGCUCAUGAUCUGGUGCUUCUGUCACCAACCAAGGAGGGCCUACAGCAGCACCUAGAUCUUCUGCACAGAUUCUAUCAGACCUGGGCCCUGACAGUAAAUCUCAGUAAGACAAAAAUAAUGGUGUUCCAAAAAAAGUCCAGAUGCCAGGACCAUAAAUACAAAUUCCAUCUAGACACUUUUGCCUUAGAGCACACAAAAAACUAUACAUACCCCAGCCUAAACAUCAGUGCCACAAGUAGCUUCCACAAAGCUGUGAACAAUCUGAGAGACAAGUCAAGAAGGGCCUUCUAUACCAUCAAAAGGAACAUCAAAUUUGACAUACCAAUUAGGAUCUGGCUAAAAAUACUUGAAUCAAUUAUAGAACCCAUUGCCCUUUAUGUUUGUGAGGUCUGGGGUCUGCCCACCAACCAAUAAUUAACAAAAUGGGACAAAUACCAAAUUUAGACUAUGCAUGCAGAAAUAAGCAAAAAUAUUCUCUGUGUACAACGUAAAACACCAAAUAAUGCAUGCAGAGCAGAAAUAGGCCGAUACUCACUAGAAAUAGGCCGAUACCCGCUAAUUAUCAAAAUCCAGAAACGAGACAUUACAUUUUACAACCACCUAAAAGGAAGCGAUUCCCAAACCUUCCAUAACAAAGCCAUCACCUAUAGAGAAAUUAACCCGGAGAAGAGCCCUCUAAGC
rnacentral:lncRNA from 1 species